UACGUAGGGUGCAAGCGUUAAUCGGAAUUACUGGGCGUAAAGCGUGCGCAGGCGGUUUUGUAAGACUGUCGUGAAAUCCCCGGGCUCAGCCUGGGAAUGGCGAUGGUGACUGCAAGGCUAGAGUUUGGCAGAGGGGGGUAGAAUUCCACGUGUAGCAGUGAAAUGCGUAGAUAUGUGGAGGAACACCGAUGGCGAAGGCAGCCCCCUGGGUCAAAACUGACGCUCAUGCACGAAAGCGUGGGGAGCAAACAGG
rnacentral:rRNA from 1 species